rnacentral:rRNA from 1 species
GAUGAACGCUAGCGGCAGGCUUAACACAUGCAAGUCGAGGGGUAUAGUUCUUCGGAGCUAGAGACCGGCGCACGGGUGCGUAACGCGUAUGCAAUCUACCUUUUGCAGAGGGAUAGCCCAGAGAAAUUUGGAUUAAUACCUCAUAGUAUGUGAGAAUGGCAUCAUUUUCACAUUAAAGUCACAACGGCAAAAGAUGAGCAUGCGUCCCAUUAGCUUGUUGGCAAGGUAACGGCUUACCAAGGCAACGAUGGGUAGGGGUCCCGAGAGGGGGAUCCCCCACACUGGUACGGGGACACGGACCAGACUCCUACGGGAGGCAGCAGUGAGGAAUAUUGGACAAUGGGCGCAAGCCUGAUCCAGCCAUGCCGCGUGCAGGAUGACGGUCCUAUGGAUUGUAAACUGCUUUUGUACAGGAAGAAACACUGGUUCGUGAACCAGCUUGACGGUACUGUAAGAAUAAGGAUCGGCUAACUCCGUGCCAGCCGCCGCCGUAACAC